UACGUAGGGCGCAAGCGUUGUCCGGAAUUAUUGGGCGUAAAGAGCUCGUAGGCGGUCUGUCGCGUCUGCCGUGAAAUCCCGAGGCUUAACCUCGGGCCUGCGGUGGAUACGGGCAGACUAGAGGUAGGUAGGGGAGAAUGGAAUUCCCGGUGUAGCGGUGAAAUGCGCAGAUAUCGGGAGGAAGACCAGUGGCGAAGGCGGGUCUCUGGACAGUUCCUGACGCUGAAGCACGAGGGCCAGGGGAGCAAACGGG
rnacentral:rRNA from 1 species